CCAUGUAUGACAGGUGGGACGUCUGGGUUUACAUGGAUGUGAUGUUCUCCAGGAUUAGUUUGUCAGUUCAGUCAUUUGUGUUGAUGAGCCCUACCCAGCUAGCUAGUUCAUGCCUGUGGCUAGAAACUUCAGUGAGAAUUUGAAACUUGUCUGCUGAAGUCGGGACUUAUCGGACUACAAAAUCAACAGAUGUGCUUUAGCUGCCUGUCACCCUGGCCUGAUAUUAGCUACAGUAUCUAGUUACUUCCCUCUUAAGUUACUGCAGGACAGCAGUGCUCAGCAGGUGGGAAUCAGGAGCGAAGGACACACUGUGCCCCGUGUUGUUGUGUUGCCGGCUUGCAGGGCAAACGCUUCCCUUUGAGCAGCAGUACUGUGACAUCCAGAUUCUAGAUCGUGAUCCAAUACUGCAAGUUAUUUCUCCCUCGCCCAUCGAAAUAAAAACUUUCUUUUACAAGUUUUAACUCGCACCAUGCUAUUGUUGCUGGCUAGCUAAGAAGUGUUCGUCAGGACAAUUUACUGAACCAAAUCCAUUCGACAUACGUCAUCAAUUUGGGCACCAGGCAUGUCCAUAUAGCCUCUCCCCUUUAGCUUGGCAGCUGUUUUUAUGUUAACUCUGUUGUUUGUGCUCGAUGAAAUUCUGAAAACCGGACCAUGUUGUGGAUUCGUAUGACUGGAGGACUCAUUGACUAGCUGGCUACAACAACCUGGAGGUGGCAGAGUAUCUCCAGAAGCAAAGGGCUGACAUUAACGCACAGGACAAAGGAUGCCUCAUCCGUUUGCACAAUGCUGCCUAAUACAGGGUCCGUCAACUCAAAGAUUACAUCAGGCUUUUGAAGACGUUUUACAUGCUGUGUCGCCCAUCUUCCCUAUUAUCCCCUGUGUAUUUAUACACGUGUUCUCUGUUAAUCUGUGGCCAGUUUGUCAAGUCAACCAGCAGUUUUGCCUCAGCUCCUGCUUUUCCCAGUUUCUCCUUUUCUUUGACCCAUGCCUGUCCUGACUCGGAGCCCGCCUGCCUGACUACUCUGCCAGACCCUGCCUGCCGACCUGCACCAUUGCCCCACCUCUGGAUUAUUGACCUCUGCUUACCCUGAGCCUGCCUGCCGUCCGCACCCUGCAGCUAGUCUGAGUGUUGAGGACUCUACUAGAGAUGGCUUGAAGAUGACAAUUGAUCUUGCACGUGGACAUUGCGGCCCUCCUGAUCAAGUUCAACAAGUGUGUGUGUGUGUGUGUGUACCCCACAUACAACUGGGCCUUCACCCCUCUCCACGAGGUGACUCAGAAGGGCUGUAAUCUGCUGUGUGCUCUACUGCUGGCCCACAGAACUGACCCUGUCAUGAAGAAGCAGGAGAGACAGACCACCUGACCUGGCCACGAUACCCAUCCUUUCUCUGCUAGUGCUAACAGUAGAUAAUUGUUACGUACACCUCUCCCUAGAGGGUCCGCAACACCAUGCUACAACUCAACUCCCCGUGGAGUGAAAGGGGUAUGGGACUGUAGGUUUGAGCAGGAAUGACAAAGGCAGAGAAUGGUACCGUUUUACAGGGAAUUUAUUCAGUCACAUGGUCAUUUUUGGGAAAAGGGGCUGGAUGGAACCAAAGCGAAGAAAGUAAAUAUCAAAUCCCCCUCUCCUACCUUACCUGCCUACCCACUAGUUAACUUAGCACCACCUGGUGCGUUAACCAAAAUACAAGGGGUGGUCCGCCCAGGUCUUACCUAGUGUGCAAAGACAGUGAAUACGACAGGUUAUGUAUGCCCGCAGGCCUCUGCCUAAGCACUCCCUAGGUGCCUUCCCCUUCCCCCCUGGGAACAAAUGAAACAGAAUAAUACUACUUCACAACAAAAACGGAGAAAAAACUCAAGACAUUAAAGAAACGCUCUCUCUCUGAGCAACAAACUAACACAUAACAAUCAGCUCUCUCAGCAACAACUAACAUAGUACAUACCAAAUCUCUUUCUUAGAAACAAACAUAUGUUAUAACCCUCAGCUCUCUUCAGAGCAACAGAACACUGGCUUAUGUAGCUGGAGAAGGAGUCUAAUGGGAUACACCUGUAUCCUGACGAGGGGGCAGGGUCAGCUCUCCAAUCAUCAUUGGGGCCGACCAAUCAGCUGCUUGUGGGAAUUUCAGGAAGCCAUCCUGCAACACACACAUACAAAACCACAACACAGAAACUGGGGAACGUAACAAAGAUGUUAAAUGACAAGUGUUACUAUCAGUAUUAUAUGUUGAUUUUCAACAUAAACAAGAGCUGUCAUUAGUUUUUUGUUCAAAAUGGUAGACAUAGUGAAUGUAUGCAUGUGUUAUAUUUUUCUAGUUACACAACUGUCUGACAAGGACGUAGUCUGUUCAUAAUAAUUCCCAUCAAAUAUAUUUUGACACACAUGGCUGGGGAAACCCCUUAUCACCCAGUAACUCUCCCUCCGACCACAUCCUCCUCCUUCCUCAGGCUGAUGAUAUCCGUACCCUGUUGAUGUACACAAUGCCCUCAGACGCAGAGAAGAGAGAUCACCAGUUCAUCAAACUGUCCAUUCUCGGGACAACAUACAUUGCUCGAUCAGUACAUACAUUGCUCGAUUGGGUACUUGAUUGGCCCAUUUGCCACCUAGCCAAACAGACUGAUAUUUUAAUGCAGAAAUCCAUGACCUAUUGUAUUUGACCAUUUUGUGUGUAUUUCUUAGAAGCCUCCAAGCGCGCUGUUCUGAGGUUCAAGCAGUUUAAUUGUUUUUAAUAUCUGCUUAUAAUCAGUUAUCAGUUAAUACACAUGAAAAGAUUAGCUGUGGAAUUUUCCACUCCAUUAGGAUAUUAUUGUCUUGUAACUCAUGUAAAGUGGAGUGCCUCCUCCACCAGUCCUUUAGGGUUGCAAUGUUAAAUGUAUAACUCUAUUCUCUUAUAAGCUGAGGUGAACCAACGGACAGUAGAGCAGCAGCAGUCAGUAUGUAACCUGACACAACUGGAGGUCAUGAUGGUAUUUGUUUAGAACAAGAAAGAAAACAAGUAGUUGGCCACUACGAUGCAGAAAACUAUAUAUUUACAGUGGCUCCAGUUCCAAACACAGUAGUUAAGUGCCACUGGAGGUCUUUAUGGUGUUGAAGAACUCUUGGAAGUGAUCCAGGCUGAGCUUGUGGGUGAGCUUGUUGUUCCGUAGGUGGAGGAGCUGGGCUGUACCAGGCUGUGGUUUGAGCUUGACGAGGCCCUCCCAGCGAGGACACGUAGUCUUAUGCCUCAAACAGGAAGGAGUAGAGUACACAGUAUUCAUCAUGGAAAUGACUUGGGUGCCAUAUAUACGGAACUGGGUGGAGUCUUAUGCAACUGUGUUGACUCCACAGAGCUAAUGUUGCAAUACAGAAGAAAACAAGGGAGGAGAACUAUUAAUUGCCUUAUCGCUUUACAACUUAGGCCCAUAGCCUAUAGUUAAUUAUAUUGGUUUUGAGUACCACCUUGGCUCAUAUAUUCAGCAGGGCCCUUUCUGAAAUGAGAUGGGAUAAAACUAUUGGUUGUUUUAGCGGUGUAAUGGCUCAAACUGUAUUAUCCCCAGAUGUUCAUUUUGUUACAUGUAGGGCUAACAUAAUACAGAAUAAUUGAGUUGUUUAUUGCACCGCUCUCUGCUUGACACACUGCAAAGUGGGUCAACUAUUGUAUUCAUCUCCUUUGAUUUGAUAUAUGAAAAUGUCUCCAUUUUUUUAUUUGUUUAGUUUUGUCAGGUGUACCUCAGUUGGUUGAACAUGUUGCUAGCAAUGCCAGAGUUGUGGGUUUGAGUCCGGCCUGGACAGUAUACCAGAUUUAGCUGGGCUUCUCCUCAAUUACUCUGCAGCGCCGGUCGAGGGCUUCCAGGUGGAGCAAGAUGAACAAAACACGGCUAUUGUGAACAAUGUGCUGGCCAUAUUUGUUCGAGCUUUGGGUGGGCACUGGAUUAGGCAUCCUCACAUAAAACAAAACACGAUAGCCCUGACCUAUUCCUGCGUGACAGAGUUCAUCACACCCCGUUGGGAAAGUGUUUUUUAGAUGCCAUACACUAUUGUCUUUAACAGUUGUUAUAGAGCCAGCACAUAAUAGGCCAGGGCUUUAUGUAAGGAAUGAAUAUGAUUGAACCCAUUCUUACUCUGAUGCAGCACUUAUUGAAUGUUUUGAAUAGCAGGACAGAAAUCAAGUACCUCAUGCUGUACUCAUGUUGAAAAGACAGGUCAAAGAGAUCUCCUGGCAGGGGUUAGAAAGGAUGGUCCCCCUACAGGUACAGCAAACGCUAUGUUGGUUUGACUUCCCUGCAGUGAACAAUGCUCCCCCCCCAGUCCAGGUAAUGCCAAUGGCUUGUAUGUGACAGUUGUUUCAGUGGCUCUGACAAUACAUUAUAUUGAGCAUCUUAUAGAAUCCUUGAGUUGGUAUAUUAUACUACUUUUAUGAAUAUUUUUUAUCAAAUGCUGUCUAUCCCUUAGAAUCUACUAACAUGUUAUACAAGGCAACUUUACUGAUUAAUUGAUUGAUUAAUUGGGACAAGGCUCGAAUUUAAAAAGACAUGUCAACUUGUAUCUGCUUUAGAUUGGCACAUGUUAACUUUGGAGGAAGGUGGUUAGAUGGAUUCAGAUGCUAAACUUCUCCAAUACCGUAUUCA